rnacentral:lncRNA from 1 species
UGCAUAUUGGAGAAUACAUGCAAUAGUGAUUUUGAAAUAUACAUCAUUAAUUAGAAUUCACAACCUCUAUCAUAUCAAAUGCUGAAGCAUUAUGUGUGACUCGCACCACCAAAUCAUGCCUGAAAAUAUUUUUACUUCUUUAUAUUUUAAAUUUAUUUAAGAGGCAUCUUUCAUCUAUCUUUUCUCAUAUGUGUUGUCUUGAGAGACAAAAUCACAAUUGAUUUAUCACAAAUAAAAAUUAUACU